rnacentral:lncRNA from 1 species
UAGCAUAUACAAGCUUAUUUACAAGCUCUACAAAUGACACGUCCUACAAGAUGUAGCAUUUACAAGUUCUACAAGUUACACGUAAUACAAGCUUAGUUGAUACAAGCUCUACAACUAUGGGAAUCAGUUACAAGCUCUACAAGUGUUUUCUUCUUCUACAUGUAGCUCCUUCAAUAGCGAUCAAAUGCCGGACUCACUGGAGAGUCAGGACUGGGCCUUCCACGGACGCCCUAUUACAUGAAUCAACUGAUAAAAAAUAGAAAAACUGGAGCUAAUAUAUUAUGAACAUUCCAUUCAAAAGGAGUAAAGGACAUUCUUUGUUUCAUCAUGUUACAAAGGAGCAGCACAAACCACAACUUUACUCGACAC